rnacentral:rRNA from 1 species
AGCAACAUAAGCGGAGGAAAAGAAACCAACAGGGAUUGCCCUAGUAACGGCGAGUGAAGCGGCAACAGCUCAAAUUUGAAAUCUGGCUCUUUCAGAGUCCGAGUUGUAAUUUGCAGAGGGCGCUUUGGCGUUGGCAGCGGUCCAAGUUCUUUGGAACAGGACGUCACAGAGGGUGAGAAUCCCGUACGUGGUCGCUAGCCUUCGCCGUGUAAAGCCCCUUCGACGAGUCGAGUUGUUUGGGAAUGCAGCUCUAAAUGGGAGGUAAAUUUCUUCUAAAGCUAAAUACUGGCCAGAGACCGAUAGCGCACAAGUAGAGUGAUCGAAAGAUGAAAAGCACUUUGGAAAGAGAGUCAAAUAGCACGUGAAAUUGUUGAAAGGGAAGCGCUUGCAGCCAGACUUGCCUGUAGUUGCUUAUCUGGACUUUUGUCCGGUGCACUCUUCUGCGGGCAGGCCAGCAUCAGUUUGGGCGGUUGGAUAAAGGUCUCUGUCAUGUACCUCCUUUCGGGGAGGCCUUAUAGGGGAGACGACAUGCAACCAGCCUGGACUGAGGUCCGCGCAUCUGCUAGGAUGCUGGCGUAAUGGCUGUAAGCGGCCCGUCUUGAAACACGGACCAAGGAGUCUAACAUCUAUGCGAGUGUUUGGGUGUCAAGCCCAGACGCGUAAUGAAAGUGAACGGAGGUGGGAACCCUUUGGGUGCACCAUCGACCGAUCCUGAUGUCUUCGGAUGGAUUUGAGUAAGAGCAUGGCUGUUGGGACCCGAAAGAUGGUGAACUAUGCUUGAAUAGGGUGAAGCCAGAGGAAACUCUGGUGGAGGCUCGCAGCGGUUCUGACGUGCAAAUCGAUCGUCAAAUUUGGGCAUAGGGGC